GACGAACGCUGGCGGCGUGCUUAACACAUGCAAGUCGAACGGAAAGGCCCUGCUUUUGUGGGGUGCUCGAGUGGCGAACGGGUGAGUAACACGUGAGUAACCUGCCCUUGACUUUGGGAUAACUUCAGGAAACUGGGGCUAAUACCGGAUAGGAGCUCCUGCUGCAUGGUGGGGGUUGGAAAGUUUCGGCGGUUGGGGAUGGACUCGCGGCUUAUCAGCUUGUUGGUGGGGUAGUGGCUUACCAAGGCUUUGACGGGUAGCCGGCCUGAGAGGGUGACCGGCCACAUUGGGACUGAGAUACGGCCCAGACUCCUACGGGGGGCAGCAGUGGGGAAUAUUGCACAAUGGGCGGAAGCCUGAUGCAGCAACGCCGCGUGUGGGAUGACGGCCUUCGGGUUGUAAACCGCUUUCGCCUGUGACGAAGCGUGAGUGACGGUAAUGGGUAAAGAAGCACCGGCUAACUACGUG
rnacentral:rRNA from 1 species